rnacentral:rRNA from 1 species
CAACUUUCAGCRACGGAUCUCUUGGCUCUCGCAUCGAUGAAGAACGCAGCGAAAUGCGAUAAGUAAUGUGAAUUGCAGAUUUCAGUGAAUCAUCGAAUCUUUGAACGCACCUUGCGCUCCUUGGUAUUCCGAGGAGCAUGCCUGUUUGAGUAUCAUGG